CCCUUGAGUACAACAGUUGUUGGAGUUGCAGUCUUUUCAGUUACACGGAAUAAGAGAGUUAUAACUGAAAAGAUGCAAAUAUCAAUUCCUGAUCCAGCAAAUGCAUCAAAUAUUCCUCCAAUAAUUCCAGUAAAGAACAGAACCCAUCCUUUCCAUGCACAGAAUUCUGGAAUUUCACGGAAUGUUGAUCUCUUCUUUUGAGCAUUCAAAAUUCCCAAUGCAAAUG
ensembl:ncRNA F26A1.18 ncRNA